AUUGAACGCUGGCGGCAGGCCUAACACAUGCAAGUCGAACGAGUGGCGGACGGGUGAGUAAUAUCUGGGAAACUGCCCGAUAGAGGGGGAUAACUACUGGAAACGGUAGCUAAUACCGCAUACUAUCGGAUGUGCCCAGAUAGGCUUGGCUCGUUGGUGGGGUAAUGGCUAACCAAGGCGACGCUCCCUAGCUGGUCUGAGAGGAUGACCAUCAACACUGGAACUGAGACACGGUCCAGACUCCUACGGGAGGCAGCAGUGGGGAAUAUUGCACAAUGGGCGAAAGCUUGAUGAAGCCAUGCCGCGGGUAGGAAGAAGGUCUUCGGGUUGUAAAGUACUUUUAGCGGGGAGGCGUUACCCGCAGAAGAAGCACCGGCUAACUCCGUGCCAGCAGCCGCGGUAAUUC
rnacentral:rRNA from 1 species